AACGAACGCUGGCGGCAGGCCUAACACAUGCAAGUCGAGCGGGUCCUUCGGGACUAGCGGCGGACGGGUUAGUAACGCGUGGGAACGUGCCCAAAGGUACGGAAUAGCCUCGGGAAACUGAGAGUAAUACCGUAUGUGCCCCUCGGGGGAAAGAUUUAUCGCCUUUGGAUCGGCCCGCGUUGGGUUAGGUAGUUGGUGGGGUAAUGGCCUACCAAGCCGACGACCCAUAGCUGGUUUGAGAGGAUGAUCAGCAACACUGGGACUGAGACACGGCCCAGACUCCUACGGGAGGCAGCAGUGGGGAAUCUUAGACAAUGGGGGAAACCCUGAUCUAGCCAUGCCGCGUGGACGAUGAAGGCCUUAGGGUUGUAAAGUCCUUUCAGCUGGGAAGAUAAUGACGGUACCAGCAGAAGAAGCCCCGGCUAACUCCGUGCCAGCCGCCGCCGUAAGAC
rnacentral:rRNA from 1 species